UGCCGAGGAAAAUCUCGGAAGUUAACUGUAGCCGGUUUCUAUAAAAUUCGACAGUUAACUGCCGAAAGACAU
rnacentral:pre_miRNA from 1 species